GAUGAGCUGGGUUCCUUAUAACCUAAUUGUGAUGUUAACACACCGCUCCACCCCAGCAUUACCUGCCCCAGGGUCUGACCACUCCUCACUGGGCACCUGCUCUGUGGCUCAUUGACUGUGUCUGACAGCCAGGUGAGAGAAAUUGACACCAUCAGGAACACAGGUGAUUAUAAUUCUGCUGAUGCCAGCCCUUUAUCUCUAACUAGGACAGGUUACACAUCAGCAGAAGCGUGAGCACUCAGAACACUGCUGAGGCAAAAAACUUUCUUCUUCAGUGCGUCUGCACAGCUUCACCUCCUGUUCUUCCCCUCUCCUCCAAGUAAUAGCAAUUCCUGAUUCAGCCCCCUCUCUCCACUAUUACCUCCACUCACGCAGUAAAGGCAAAGAACUUCAGGGAAAUGACAGAGAAGAACAGCAAGAAAGACACAAGUGUUCAGUAUCAAGUCCAGACCCUGACAUUUAUUACCAGAGCCUGGCAGCAAUCAGCACAGGAAACACAUUUAGCAAGAACCACACCAGAAGCACCAGGAAAUGUUGUCUUCCUCGGAACAAUUCCCUGAAUCCCAGGUAGCCACAUACCCAAAGGCAACACUGAGCUCAGCAGCAGCAGCAGAUCUUGUGGUACCUGUUGAACCUAGUGCAGACUGAGAACAUUUUUUCACUCCAGCAGUUUUAGGGACUGGCUUUUAUGUUGUACAAAGCAAAUGGGUUGAAGUAUUCACAAUUUUUGCUUGGAUUAGAGUGCAUUCCCCUAUCCUCUGCAUGGAAUAAAGGUUAAGGAAGGAGUAAUGUUCAAUAUCCUGCAGAAA